AGUGAACGCUGGCGGUAGGCCUAACACAUGCAAGUCGAACGGCAGCACAGUAAGAGCUUGCUCUUACGGGUGGCGAGUGGCGGACGGGUGAGGAAUAUAUCGGAAUCUACUUUUUCGUGGGGGAUAACGUAGGGAAACUUACGCUAAUACCGCAUACGACCUACGGGUGAAAGCAGGGGAUCUUCGGACCUUGCGCGAUUGAAUGAGCCGAUGUCGGAUUAGCUAGUUGGCGGGGUAAAGGCCCACCAAGGCGACGAUCCGUAGCUGGUCUGAGAGGAUGGUCAGCCACACUGGAGCUGAGACACGGUCCAGACUCCUACGGGAGGCAGCAGUGGGGAAUAUUGGACAAUGGGCGCAAGCCUGAUCCAGCCAUACCGCGUGGGUGAAGAAGGCCUUCGGGUUGUAAAGCCCUUUUGUGGGGAAAGAAAAGCAGCAGGUUAAUACCCCGCUGUUCUGACGGUACCCAAAGAAUAAGCACCGGCUAACUUCGUG
rnacentral:rRNA from 1 species